ACCAUCGGAUCGGUCAAUACUUCUUGUGUGUGUGACCCCAUAGGUUCUACUCUGACUGGUAGUGAGAUAUAUUAUGAUCUCCAUCAUAAUAUCAUUGAAAACUCCUUUCAAUGGAUUGGAACGAUUCCAACUCUACUCAUUAGGGUUUAUCGAUCAUCGAGAUAAUCCCUGUGAGUCCCACCAUCCACCAGUGACACCUAGCAGCAUGUAGUGGCUACCCAGUAGAAUAGAAUGAUGAACCUUUAGGUGCAGUUAUCAUAUGAUACAGUCCU
rnacentral:lncRNA from 1 species